rnacentral:rRNA from 1 species
UCCGAGUUCCCUGGAACGGGACGCCAUAGAGGGUGAGAGCCCCGUCUGGUUGGAUGCCAAAUCUCUGUAAAGUUCCUUCAACGAGUCGAGUAGUUUGGGAAUGCUGCUCUAAAUGGGAGGUAUAUGUCUUCUAAAGCUAAAUACCGGCCAGAGACCGAUAGCGCACAAGUAGAGUGAUCGAAAGAUGAAAAGCACUUUGAAAAGAGAGUUAAAAAGUACGUGAAAUUGUUGAAAGGGAAGCGUUUAUGACCAGACUUGGGCUUGGUUAAUCAUCUGGGGUUCUCCCCAGUGCACUUUUCCAGUCCAGGCCAGCAUCAGUUUUCCCCGGGGNAUAAAGGCGGCGGGAAUGUGNCUCUCUUCGGGGAGUGUUAUAGCCCACCGNGUAAUACCCUGGGGGGGACUGAGGUUC